rnacentral:rRNA from 1 species
GACGAACGCUGGCGGCGUGCUUAACACAUGCAAGUCGAACGAUGAACCGGGUGCUUGCACUCGGGGAUUAGUGGCGAACGGGUGAGUAACACGUGAGCAACCUGCCCCUGACUCUGGGAUAAGCGCUGGAAACGGCGUCUAAUACUGGAUAUGUCCCGUCACCGCAUGGUGUGCGGGUGGAAAGAUUUUUCGGUUGGGGAUGGGCUCGCGGCCUAUCAGCUUGUUGGUGAGGUAAUGGCUCACCAAGGCGUCGACGGGUAGCCGGCCUGAGAGGGUGACCGGCCACACUGGGACUGAGACACGGCCCAGACUCCUACGGGAGGCAGCAGUGGGGAAUAUUGCACAAUGGGCGGAAGCCUGAUGCAGCAACGCCGCGUGAGGGAUGACGGCCUUCGGGUUGUAAACCUCUUUUAGCAGGGAAGAAGCGAGAGUGACGGUACCUGCAGAAAAAGCACCGGCUAACUACGUGCCAGCAGCCGCCGUAA